rnacentral:rRNA from 1 species
AGCGAACGCUGGCGGCAGGCCUAACGCAUGCAAGUCGAACGAACUCUUCGGAGUUAGUGGCGGACGGGUGAGUAACACGUGGGAACGUGCCUUUUGGUUCGGAAUAACUCAGGGAAACUUGUGCUAAUACCGAAUGUGCCCUUCGGGGGAAAGAUUUAUCGCCAUUAGAGCGGCCCGCGUCUGAUUAGCUAGUUGGUGAGGUAACGGCUCACCAAGGCGACGAUCAGUAGCUGGUCUGAGAGGAUGACCAGCCACACUGGGACUGAGACACGGCCCAGACUCCUACGGGAAGCAGCAGUGGGGAAUCUUGCGCAAUGGGCGAAAGCCUGACGCAGCCAUGCCGCGUGAAUGAUGAAGGUCUUAGGAUUGUAAAAUUCUUCCACCGGGGACGAUAAUGACGGUACCCGGAGAAGAAGCCCCGGCUAACUUCGUG